GUAGCGAACGGGGCUCCCAAAGACACCUGGCUCUGAUCUCCCAGCAAAGGAAGAGAGCCAGGGACUCCCAGAACUGGAUCCUACGUCUGUCAAAGUGGGGCUGGAAAGAAUGGGGGGAGCAGCCACCACUCCAGCUACACCAGCACUGUCAUACACCCACUUGAUCUUCUUGAUGAGAGUUUUCUCCACCAGCAAAAUGGGAACUUGGCCCUCCAAGAUGAGUACUGCAACUGGUGGCUGUAGGGCUGGGCAGGGCCAGGCCCUUGGGCAGUUUUCUUUGGCCAGCUCAGCUUAUUGAAAGGUCACGGCCCAGGAUUUUACUCCUGGCUCUGUUUGUGACUAGCAGGCUAGCAGGCUUUGGAGGCUAUGACCCUGUUCUCCUUGGAGGCUGUGACCCUGUUCUGUAAGGCUGAGCACUGAUACUCAUCUGUCUUACAAAUGCCUCCCAAGUGCCAAAGGGAGCUUUUUUAGUUUCCCACAAGGGGACAACCUUCAUAGAGCUGGUUGGUUCAGUCCCGGAAGCAGGAGGAAAACAGGAAACACGAUCGAUAAACACAUAGGAUGGGUGAGAAGACUGGUGUGGUAUGGGCUGGUCUGCGUAAAGCACAGCAAGAGAAUGUUUGGGAAAGAGCAGGGCUGCCAUACAUACUGUUCACAGUACCUUCUGUCCUGUUUAAGGGGUAGAUUUUUGGACCUCGGAGUUUAUUGAACCAACUUGUGCUUGCGUCUGAAUCGACGCAGCUAGGAGAGCCAUGGAGACAAUCCCUGACAUCCGGGAGUUCCCAGUCCAAUGUGUAAAGAAUUGCCAUCGGGACGGGUUGUGAUCACUGGAGAAGAGGAACUUGGAGAAGCCAAAUCAGUAAAGGCAGGAAUGUCAGGAUGACACUUACACAGCAUGGGAAGACUUUAAAUAAGCUUAGUCACACUGAUCUCUCCACGCUUUCAACAUUCCCAGCGCAAAGCUACCCCAGGGCCUUUCCAUUUGCUCUUGUUUCCAUCUGAGUUAGUCAGGUCUUAGUGUGGAGAUUCCUUCUCAUACUCUUGCAUCUAAAAAUUUGCGCCCCCGACCCCGUUCUCCAUCAGAUCACUGACCUAACUGACUAAUUCACUAAUUAAUUUCAUCUCUCCUUGAAUGGCAGUUGAGCUCCAGAAGAGCAAAAGCAUUGUCUACCCCAUCCACCUCUGUAUCUCUGGCACCUGCAACUCACUAGACACAUACUGAUACACAAAAUGAGUGAAUGGGUGAGUAAAGGUAUAGCCGAUACAUGGGGACUUUUAGAGAAUUUUUACAUACAGGGCCAGCAACACAGGUAUCCUGUGGGGAGGAUGCAGAGAGGAGAGGAAGGGAAACCCAGAGGGUGCUAGCUUCACCUUGACCUCUUGGGGACUGAUGACAGGAAACAGGAGAUUAGGCAAAGGGUGGACCUGAGGUUUCAGGAUGAGAACUGGAGACUACAGGUUCCCUGUCAUCAAGGGUGAUCAUCUCUGGUCCUCUGGGACAAGUCUGUGAGGAAGGAACACAUGUAAUCCAAGGUUCAAGAGACCUGUCUGAGGUCCCACAUGUGGGAGGUAUCAGAGCUGAAAGGGAAAUCCAGAUCUCCUGGUCCCCAUUUUCUGGUCUCUCUACCUAUGAUGGAUAAAGACACCUGGAUCCCUCCAGCUGACCUGACAUGCUCUCCUCUGCUCCAUGCCUGUCUAGCUGGUCAUUAAACCCUGAUACUUUCAUUCCUGAAUGCCUAUGAAGUCCUGCCAAUCCUUCUAUAGCCCCAGAGGAUUCCCAUUACCCCUUCCUGCUCACUUAUUUCCCUGUCUUUCUAGCCACACAAUCAUACCCAGCUGCCAGAGAAAUUCUUGAAACUCAAGUCCAGUGCCUCACCUGAAAUCCCACUGAGACAUACCAGUAUGACCAAAUGAACCAUAGAUUUAAAAUAAUCUCAUUUUUUCUUUUCUGCCACUCGGUAUCUAUCCACCUACUUUUCUACAAUGAGCAUUUGAUACUUGGGCAAUCAGAAAAGGAUAACUCACAAUUUCAAAAGGUCCUCCUGUCUCUUCAAGGUGAUGGUCAAACAGCAUCAGUGGCCCAAACAAAAUUCUACUUGUCCAUUUAACCAUGCUUUUGGUCAUUAAUUCUCUCCUUACUUUCCCCAAGCCUUUUCUCCUCCCUCAAAAGAUGCUUGCUAGACCUGGAGAGAUUGCUCAGCGGUUAUAAGUACUUGCUGCUCUUGAAGAGAACUUGGAUUCGGUUCCCAGCACCCCACACAGCAGCUCACAACUAUCUGCAACUGCCAUUCCCUCUUCCAGCUUCCACAGGUACCAGGUUAUGCUCAGCUUCACGAAGUAAUGAUACACUGUUCUCUGAGUGAUGGAGCCACCUACAGCUCUCUCCAGCAGCCUCAGUUCUUCCCUUGCUGACAUCUGGGCUGUUGACUCUUGGUGACCAGAGGAUGAGAUGGGGCUCGUGAAGUAUGCUGGCUGCUCAUCUUUCUGUGUUACGUGCAAGCAUCUUUAUUUGGUUGUGCUUUACUCAUGACUUGAUAGCAAGUAUUGGUUUUACUAUCA